rnacentral:rRNA from 1 species
UACGUAGGGGGCAAGCGUUAUCCGGAAUUACUGGGUGUAAGGGGAGCGUAGACGGUAAUGUAAGUCUGGAGUGAAAGGCGGGGGCCCAACCCCCGGACUGCUCUGGAAACUAUGUUACUAGAGUGCAGGAGAGGUAAGCGGAAUUCCUAGUGUAGCGGUGAAAUGCGUAGAUAUAUGGAAGAACACCAGUGGCGAAAGCGGCUCUCUGGUCUGUAACUGACGCUGAGGUGCGAAAGCGUGGGUAGCAAACAGG